AUCGUAGUCCCACCUAAAGGGGCCCCCGCCUGUGGCCGGCCGCCGCGCUUCCUCCGCCUCUUCCCAUCGCCUGUGCGCCUGCGCGACCGGAAAAUUCGCGAAGGUUCGUGAAGCGGAACUGGCCGUUUCCGGAAGCCGGCAGCCGCCCCAGUCUGCAGACGGGUGGUUGCGACAGGGGAGUUGUAAAGGCAGUGUCUGGCGGUUCUGGGCGUUUGACCCUGACCCGGAGCGGUGGGAAGAGAAAAUGGCCCUGCUGUGCUACAACCGAGGCUGCGGCCAGCGCUUCGAUCCCGAGACCAAUUCCGAUGACGCUUGUACAUACCACCCAGGCGUUCCAGUCUUUCAUGAUGCAUUAAAGGGUUGGUCUUGCUGUAAGAGAAGAACAACUGAUUUUUCUGAUUUUUUAAGCAUUGCAGGCUGUACGAAAGGAAGGCAUAAUAGUGAGAAGCCACCCGAGCCAGUCAAACCUGAAGUCAAGACUACUGAGAAGAAAGAACUAUCUGAAUUGAAACCCAAAUUUCAGGAGCAUAUCAUUCAAGCCCCUAAACCAAUAGAAGCAAUAAAAAGGCCAAGCCCAGAUGAACCAAUGACAAAUUUGGAAUUAAAAAUAUCUGCCUCCCUAAAACAAGCACUUGAUAAACUUAAACUAUCAUCGGGGAAUGAAGAAAAUAAGAAAGAAGAAGACAGUGAUGAAAUUAAGAUUGGAACCUCAUGUAAAAAUGGAGGGUGUUCAAAGACAUAUCAGGGUCCACAGAGUCUAGAAGAAGUCUGUGUAUAUCAUUCUGGAGUACCUAUUUUCCAUGAAGGGAUGAAAUAUUGGAGCUGUUGUAGAAGAAAAACUUCUGAUUUUAAUACAUUCUUAGCCCAAGAGGGCUGUACAACAGGGAAACACACGUGGACUAAAAAGGAUGCUGGGAAAAAGGUUGUUCCAUGUAGACAUGACUGGCAUCAGACUGGGGGUGAAGUCACCAUUUCAGUAUAUGCUAAAAAUUCACUUCCGGAACUUAGUCAAGUAGUAGCAAAUAGUACAUUGUUAAAUGUGCACAUUGUAUUUGAAGGAGAGAAGGAAUUUCAUCAAAAUGUGAAAUUAUGGGGUGUGAUUGAUGUAAAGCGAAGUUAUGUAACUAUGACUGCAACGAAGAUUGAAAUUACCAUGAGAAAAGCUGAACCUAUGCAAUGGGCAAGCCUUGAACUGCCUGCAGCCAAAAACCAGGAAAAACAAAAAGAAGAUACAACAGAAUGAACAGCUCAACCAACUAAGGGUGAAGAGAACCUUAAAGAGUUCUUGGAAAUAUUUUAAGGCUGAACGAGGAUCUGCUUUAUUUUCAAUAUCAAAUAUAGAAUCAAAGAUGCCAGGAAAUGAUUCGCCAGCAUAUUUGUUGUGGCUGCUUGGAGCAAAGAUGAUAUGCCUAGUAGAAAAAAACAAAGAGGACAGGUUGAACUGAAGCGUGUACAUAUAUUACAUUUUAUAUGCUUUCUCUUUAUUCAUUCUGCUUUGUUAGACCGUAUCUUACUAAGUAUUCUGUGUCUCCUCCUGGCAUUUACUUUUGUUACUCCAAAAUAAAAACAUAUAUAAUUGGUUUGAGAUA